rnacentral:rRNA from 1 species
CACAAGCAGCGGAGCGUGUGGUUAAUUCGAUGUUACACGAAGAACCUUACCAGGGUUGACAUAUAGGUUGUAGGGAACUGAAAGGGACCGACCUUCGGGAGCCUAUACAGGUGUUGCAUGGCUGUCGUCAGCUCGUGUCGUGAGAUGUUCGGUUAAGUCCGCUAACGAGCGCAACCCUCGUCGUAUGUUAUAUGUGUCAUACGAGACUGCCGGUAAAAGCCGGAGGAAGGUGAGGAUGAUGUCAAGUCAGCAUGACCUUUAUAUCCAGGGCUACACACACGCUACAAUGGUCUGUACAAUGGGUAGCCAAGCCGCGAGGCGGAGCCAAUCCUGAAAGCAGGCCUCAGUUCAGAUUGCAGUCUGCAACUCGACUGCAUGAAGCCGGAGUUGCUAGUAACCGCAGGUCAGCAAUACUGCGGUGAAUACGUUCCCGGGUCUU